CCUGGCUAUUCUAUGACCUCACGACCCUGAUUUAUUCCUUAACAACUACCAAGUUAUUGAGUUGCUGGGAAGAGUCUAGAAGGGGGUUGGGGCUCCCCUAUUUGCAAACUCUCAGGGGUCACAGGGGCUUGCUAGCCCAACCCAGGUGGAGGUGUGGGCUUCAUUCUUGGUAGCAAUUAUAUAUUGAAGGGAGAAAGACAAAGAAAAAAAGUUGCUAUCAAAUCAGGUCCAUGAGCUUGAUGGGUGGGGUUUGAUGAAGAUAUUCAAUUUAAGACUCAGUGCUCCAUAAUUUUUCACCCUUUGCAUAUUGUCCAGUUGUGGGUGUCUGGGCCAGUUACCAUCAACUGCAAGAGGAAACGUCUAUGGUG
rnacentral:lncRNA from 1 species